UUGUAGAAUACAGCUAACAACUUCACUGUAGGGGUGUUUCAAGCAAAUAACCGGGUGCAAGGGAAGCAAAGGCAUUGGCAACACAAAGGUGGAUUUAAGCCAUAAUUGAUCACAGCAGCAUUUUACAACUGAGGAUUCCCAGGCCGGCUGCCUCCGAGCCCAGAUUUCCCCCUGUGAUCGUUUUCAUCUCCAGGAACUACCUAUCCUGCUUGGGAGAGGGAGCCCAAGCUACCUUCUGUUCUGUGUGGAUUAUUUGUUUUCAUUGCAAGCCUCUGCUUACCAUAGCUGGUAACAGAGGCAGUUUUCUUUGUUUACUGCAAUUGCGUGAAAACCCACUGCUCAGGACUUUGUACUUUUGGGUGUGCUGUAAAUAAAAAUCCAACCCCUA